rnacentral:rRNA from 1 species
GAUGAACGCUAGCGAUAGGCUUAACACAUGCAAGUCGAGGGGCAGCAUGGUCUUAGCUUGCUAAGACUGAUGGCGACCGGCGCACGGGUGCGUAACGCGUAUGCAACUUGCCUCACAGAGGGGGAUAACCCGUCGAAAGACGGACUAAUACCGCGUACACUUGGGAUAGUGCGUCCUGACCCAAGGAAAUGAAUUUCGCUGUGCGAUAGGCAUGCUUCCCAUUAGCUAGUUGGUGAGGUAACGGCUCACCAAGGCGACGAUGGGUAGGGGAACUGAGAGGAUCAACCCUCACACUGGUACUGAGCAACGGACCAGACUCAUACGGGAGGCAGUAGUGCGGAAUAUUGGUCAAUGGGCUAGAGCCUGAACCAGCCAAGUCGCGUGCAGGAUGACUGUCUUAUGGAUUGUAAACUUCUUGUAUACGGGAAUAACAAGAGGCACGUGUGGCUCCCUGCAUGUACCGGAUAAAUAAGCAUCGGCUAACUCCGUG